GCGUGCCCUUAACCCUUUCUCUGAACAUCUUCUUUUCCUCUUCUCAUCUAACCCUAAUUUUCCUCUUCUCAUCUAACCCAAAUUCUCAGUAUUUUACACUCUAACUUGGUAUCAAAGCAAACAAUCCGACGCAACUAAAGCCCAUCAAAAUUAUUUUGACAGUAAUUGGGAGAUCAGCAUCCUCAAAUUAAGGUGCUAAUAUCAUCCUCGUUGUGAUGAGGUCAGCACAAACACGAUGUCAGCAUGUGAUGAACCCAUCUCUUGGAUCGCUUUCUCCUCCUGGACCUUAAGACGAAGAAGAUGAUUGGUUUGGGGCAUGAGAAGGACGGCCUAUAUUAUCUGGAUCACGGUGGCUCUUCCUUUUCCAUUUCAUCUGCAUUCCGUGCUACAAUUUCACUUCUUCAGUGGCACUUCCGUUUGGGUCAUCCAUCAUUGGCCAAACUCAAGUUAGCUAUUCCUUGAGUCAUGUGUCUAGCUUAGAAAGUGAAGCUUGUGCGUUGGGCAAGCAUCACCGAAGCUCUUUUUCUCGUAGUAGUCAUGAUCGUCAUUCUGAGUCUUUUGUUGUAGUCCACACGGGCAUAUGGGGACCUUCCUGCAUUUCUAGUUAGAAUGGAUUUCGUUAUUUUCAUA